UACAGAGGUCUCAAGCGUUGUUCGGAUUCAUUGGGCGUAAAGGGUGCGUAGGUGGCGCGCUAAGUCAGGUGUGAAAUCUCGGGGCUUAACUCCGAAACUGCAUUUGAUACUGGCGUGCUUGAGGACUGGAGAGGAGACUGGAAUUCAUGGUGUAGCAGUGAAAUGCGUAGAGAUCAUGAGGAAGACCAGUGGCGAAGGCGGGUCUCUGGACAGUUCCUGACACUGAGACACGAAGGCCAGGGGAGCAAACGGG
rnacentral:rRNA from 1 species